UAAGUGCCAAUUCAGUCUGAGAUCUCAGCUACUUGAUAAUCUCAUCUCAGUCUCACCCUCACCUUUGUUUGAAGCUCUCAUCUCACAUUCACUCACCAAUGCUUCCUGUUUCUGUGUUAGCUGAUCGUUUUGAUUUUCCAUUGGGUCAGUCUUUUGAAAUCAAUCUGCAAUUUCCAACUGGAUUUUUCUGGGUUUUCAAGGAACCCUAGAUCCAGCUUCAAAUUGCUUACAUGUGCUGGUUAAACCCAUAAUUUAACUGGAAGCAAGGUGGGCAGAGGCUUCAAACAAAGAUGCAUGUUUCUCUUCCUUUUGGUUUGCUGAGAUGCAUGACCGUCCAACCAUCUUAGCUAUUGCUGGAAGAGUAUACUUAAGUGUUAUAAUACCCAGGAGUUAAUCAAUCGAAUAAUAUGUAUUGAUUAAGCUUGAACAAGUCUUAGUUCUAUAAUUUUGAAAAACAAUUUGCCCUAUGUAGGAGAGAUCUGUGACUGAUCGCAAAACAAGAGCUGCUAUCUUCAGGUUUUUGUCCAACCCCGAACACUUUGUAUCCUUGUUGAUGAUAGGAAUGUGCAGGGGAAAAGGAUGUUGUAAAGAACAAAUAUUGCAUGUAAGGCACCAUACUGUCUGGUAAUCCAAAUCCAAAUUCACUGAUUACAGUGGAAAUUUUUCCAUAAAAAUAUGGAGAUAGAUGAAGCGAAAAAUAAUCAUAAAUAGAGGGCAGUGGCCAUUUCCUUCUGAAGUGGAACAUAUGUGUGCUUUCUCUAUUUUAUUAGAUCCUUAGUUCCCACGCAUUCCUAUUAUCAACAAGGAUACGAAAUGCAAUGGGAUUGGACAAAAAUUCGAAGAUAGCAACUCCUGGUUUAUGAUCCGUCAUAGAUGUCUCUUAUAUAGUGGACAUUAUUUUUCACAUUUAUAUAAUUAUGACCUUUUCCAGUUUAGUCAAUAUAUUUCUUUUGAGGGGUUGCUCCUAUGUAUUAUUGAACUUAAAAGUAUAUAAAAUUGUGCUAGGAUUAAUGGCGUAUAAUUCUAUUGGAUGCUUAGAUUCAGGUAAGACCUAUAUGGUUUGUUAAAUUAAGUUUGAAAACAUUUUAUCUCGGAUUAGGUCCAUCGAGUGAUUUGUAUGCAUAAGUUUAUGGGCUGACAGCAUAUUUCUUUCAAGAUAUCGUUGAUGCCCUUGCUUUUGUCCAAAAAUUAUGCAGAGUGACUGUUACAUUUUCCUUAAAUUUUAAAUUUCUCCAAAAUUUAGCUAUGCCUCUUGGAUUAUAGGUCGUAUUUCAUUUUUCCUCCUUGAUUAUUAAUGUGGUUUUUCAGAUUCCCGAAAGUUUCACAAAGUAUUAAUGCCCCUGCUACCGUCAAUGUCUCUCAAUAUUUCGGUUGAAAAUCAUCAAGUGCAUGUAGCUUGAGUUUUCGGUUUAUUUUCAAGACUCUAUUUCUCUCUUCCUCCUCCCCUUCUCUUUCUCUGAAAUUCUCUCUCUUCUCUAACCUUCUUGCUCUCUCUAAAGUUCUAAACUAACAAUCUCUUUCUUUUGCUUUUCUCUUAAUAAUUUAGAUCUCUUUCCCUUGCAUUUCUUUUGUGUAUCAUGGGCGAUGGGUUUGAGUGUGAUGGUUUUUCUCCCAAUUUUUCUAUUGGCCCAAGGAUUUCCAUGCCUUUGGACUUAAUUGCUGAGGACAAACAGAACAAUGUAACAUAGAAGGGCCGUAUUCUCUAGAUUCACUUGAAGAGUCUCCCUAAUCAAACCUAAUCAAAUAAGCGUCCUUUUAUUUUCUUUGUUAGAAGUUUUCUAGAAUUCUUUCUUUUUCUCCAAACUGAUUGCUACUAGAAAGUCUUAGACAGUGAUGUUCAAGGAUUAAAACGGAAAAUCAAGGUUCUCUAAACUAGAAGUAGUUCGUCAUCACAACCAUGAGGGGAGAAAGGGGGAAACAAAUUCACUCUGGGACUAGCAUACUGCAUAAUAUUAUAAAUAUCAUGAACUGGUCAUUGCGUGCUUACAAAUUAGUAAGGCAUUCAUGAACUUAACAUUAUUGCUGAGCAAAGAAAAUUCAACACCUUGUGCACAAAAAGAGGAGAAAGAUAUUGUCGCAUACCCAAAUCACAGGUUCAUUAUGGUCGGAUUCCGAUGACAGAGCUGCUGCCUAAUGGUUUAGCUUCUUCUCCAUUGUGCUCCCCCCCUCCCUCCUCUCCUUAAAGACCCUUUUUCUUUGAAGGAGUGAAGGGAGAAGGGGAAAAGUGAGUGAGCUCUCACUCUCACAUUUCAGAUUGAAAGCAAGCUGUAUUUGUGUAAAUUUGUGUUUAUACUGUAUUGGUGCUGGAGAUAUUUUGGUGCCAAUACAGUAUAUGUUUUUCCUGUCUUCUUCCCCCUUGCUUGAUACGUAUAUUAUGUUACUUUUUUAUUGUCAUUUUUCAACGAUUAAACUGAAGCAGAGUGUAUAUUUGUUCGUUCA